rfam:Ipomoea nil DNA, scaffold: scaffold0415, cultivar: Tokyo-kokei standard.
GUUGCUUUGGCUGAGUGGUUAAAGCGUGUGCCUGUUAAGUACAUGGGGUUUCCUUGCGAGAGUUCGAAUCUCUCAGGAAACG